rnacentral:lncRNA from 1 species
CACACAAGAAAAAGUCUUGGGUUGAUGGUGCUGUUCUGUAUUUUUAUUAUGGUUGUGAUUACAUAACACUAUGUACUUAUCAGAAUUUAUAAAACUACACAAAAUCGGUAAAUUUUACAGUAGGUAAAAUUUUAAAAUUGCAUCUUCUUAGCAGUACCUGCUCUUUCAUAAGUUUUCUAGCUCCAUCUUCUUUUCCAUUUAUUCACUGAAAAAGUAAUUAUUAGUGGCUACAAGUUGCCAUACAUUGGAAUUAGAGAUAAACAUUAAAAAACAAGAUGAAAAUAUGUUUGCUUUCAUGGAGCUUACUAUCCACUCAGAGGAAAUAGGAGUUACGAAGGAAAAUGUAUAAUGUCGUCUGAUGAUACAGGGAUAUUAUAACCAAUUAAUGGAAAGAAACAUUUAAGACAACACCUUCCUCUAUGUUUACAUCAGGAUGCAUUUUUGUAAUUGAGUAUGUAUAUUAAUUAUAUUACAACAGACAACAAGUAUACCACAAAUAAUUCAACAAGUUGAAUUUUUACAUCCCAUUACUGUAAACUCACAUUCUUAAGAGGAUAUAAACGUCAUGUUAUGAACAUACACCAAUUAAAUUUUCCCUACAUAUAUCCAACAUCUUUUUAAUGUCACUUGCUUUAUUACAAUCUACACUCACUUGUUAUUGUGGCCAUUACUUUGCUGCUGCUUAAUAAAGGUCUUGUUCUUAUUGGGACUGGGGAUUCAAAGUGAACAUGAGUCACUGCCAUAAUGUUGCUUACAUACUAAUGGAGAAUGAAGACGAAAAGAUAACGAGAUGGAGUCUUCCUAUGUUGCCCAGUCUGAACUUGAACUCGUGAACUCAAGCAAUCAUCCUACCUCAGCCUUCCAAGCAGCUGGGAAUAAAAAAGUCCACCACCACGUCUCGCAGCAGGUGCCUUUUUUUAAGAUUUUAUGUUUCUUGAAGUUCCUCCGCAUCAAGAAUCUGGCAAAUUUAUCUUGGACCUCUUCUUCACGGUGUCUCACAGGCUGCAAGCAAGUUGUUGGCUGGGUUUUGGCCAUCUCAAAUCUCAACUGGGUAAAGAUUUGCUUCCAAUAUCACACAGUUAAUGGCAGGAUUCGGUUCUUCACAAGUCAUUGAACUGAAGACCUCAAUUAUUUGCUAUUGGCCACAGGCUGCCCUCGGUUUAUUGCCACAUGGGCUUCUCCAGCAAGGCAAAAACACACAUGCUGAGAAGGCAAUAGAGAGAGCCUACUAGCAAGACAGAAGUCUUUUAAAACCUAAUCGUGGAAAAUGACAUUCCGCAACUUUUGCUAUAUUCUGCUUAUUAGAAAAGAGGCAGGAAUACCAGGAGAUAGGGAUCAUUGGAACUGAUAUUAAAUGACUAUCAAAGUUCACCCUCUGGCCUCUAACGAUUUUUUAUUUCCCUACCAAAUGUGAAAUAACUCCUCUCAAGGUUCUCAGACGUCUCAUUCCAUUAUAACAUCAACUUGAAGUAUAGAAUCCUCAUCGUUAAAAUCAGCUCUCACUCUUUGUUCAGUGUCUCUCAACCUGUGACCUGUGACUAUUCAGACCAGCCCCAUGACACCUAUUUAUGCCAUAUGGAGAAAAGCACCACCUAGAAAAGCCUUCCCAAAUUCCUGAACCUCAAGUGUGCA